rnacentral:lncRNA from 1 species
AGAAUUUACAGUGUCCAGCAUCACAAAACUGUUUAUUACAAAUAGGUGCAACACAGAUUGCCAUUUUUCAAUGACUCCAUAACUGGUCUUCUCAAAAGAUGCAUGAAUUUUUGGUAGUCAGAUUUCAGAUAUACACUUUUAAAAUGUAGCCUUGCAUUUUAAAUAUCUACCUUAGAAAAACUGAGUUCACUUCAUCACAAGCUAAUCGCAAAGUUUAAUAAUCAUGCCUACUUAUCAAUUUAUCCAGAAUAUCCGGAGCUCCUUUACACUAGUCUAAAUUAACCACAAAAUUCAUUAACCUGAAGUUGCAAUGGCUAUCAAUACCAUACAUUAUCAGCAGAUCUCUCAAUGAUAAUAUUGUAAGGUACAGACUGUGCAAGCAAGAAUCUUCAACUAUUGAUCUUCCGCCAAAGAGAAUGGAGCAUUUAAAAUCUGCCCAGUUUCUUCACGUUUCCCAUCAGUGUUACCCACGGACAAGCACAACCAUUUAUAAAUGUAUUCCACACUGCCCAUUUGAAAGUGCGAGAUAGAAAACGCUAAUCUUAAGAAAGCAAUGCAAAGAACUGAAAUCUCUGUCUAAAUGUCCUCAACCUUUCAGCCUUUUUAUCAGGGUUUUUGGGGUUUUUUGGUUUUUUUGGUUUUUUUUUUUUUUUUUUUUUUUUUUGGUCUGCUAUACUGCUAUACUGCUUUAAGCGUGCUGGAUACCAAAAAACGGCGCAAUAAAUCACAUGCAAAUCGGCAUGAAUCCUACCAAACUUAUUCGAGCGGUUUCCUCCCGGAACAAAACUUUGGAGGUCACUCAAUCCUCUCCUACGACAAAGGGAAGUUCUUCCUCUUCCAUCACCCCUUCCCCCGGCUGUGCGAGGGGACUAUCGGGGAAGGCACGCACGGCUUUUCCGCGGGGGCUUCCUUCGAGGUCAGGGUGAAACAGACAGCCCUGGGAAGCGUUCUGGAGGAAAGAAAAGAAGCCAUCGAGCCCCACACACGGCGCUGUAUGACCGCGCAGAGCCAAACAAACUCACGCAGGCUCUGCCCGGGGCAGGGGGACCCCUCGGCUGCCCUCCGAGAAGUUCCCGUGCCCUGGGCAGAGGCUCGGAACCCCAAAACUGGACCUGAAAACCUUCCCCCUCAGCUUCCAUUGCUGGCAAAACAUACGAAUUUAUCUUGAAAGUUCGCAUUUUGACAUGUCAGCGGUUUUGCAAUAUAAAUGUGCUUGAGAAAUUUUUGAUCGGCCUAAUGGUUAGGACCUAUUAGAAGCUGCAGAACAUAUUCACAAUCAAUUCACUUAUUCAGAUGCAUGAAUACAAGCUUGGAAAAG